CUGACUGCCUGGCUGGCUCACUUCCUGUAUGUGUUCAGGGCAAAAGACCAAGAUGUGUGCCUUCCCCAGGCCUGCAGAUCCAGACGCUUGCUGCUGAGAGAGCACUCAGGGCACAGGUUUGCAAUCUGAUGACAAAGAGAGAAAGAGCAGGUGUAUGUGUAGAAGACAGCACAGUCCAGGGAUAGAUGGGGGCCAAACCCAAGGCUGGAGGCAAGGUUUGGAGCCUUGAAGAGUGAUUGACAUCCCUGAAGGAUGGAUUUCUACAAGUUAUCCUUGCAGCAGAUAUUCAUUGAAGCCUCUUCACUGAAACUCUGGCUGUAGAUCCUGCUUUCAAGGAGUGCGUGCUUAGUCAUUUCAGUCGUGGCCGACUUUUUGCAACCUCAUGAACUGUAGACCACCAGACUCCUCUGUCCAUGGGAUUCUCCAGCUCCUGAUUUGAUAUUCUGGACAGUGCACUGGAUUGGCUGUACCUAGAUCACGUGCUCAGGCCCAUCCUCAAAGGAGACUAAGAAAAUGUAUCCCCAGGGUAACUUCUUUUAAAAGAGAUUACUGAAUCAAGAGAGAAUCUGGAUCCUAGAGAGAGAGAACCCCAACACUUCUGAGUACUGUCAGCUGGUUGCCAAGUUGGGACACCUCAUCUCAGAGCCGUACCUGUACUUGCAGAAACCGUACUUGCAGAAACCGGAG
ensembl:lncRNA